rnacentral:misc_RNA from 1 species
CCGUUGGUGAACCAGCGGAGGGAUCAUUACCGAAGUUACCUUCAAAACCCACUGUGAACCUUACCUCUUGCCGCGUUGUCUCGGCGGGAGGCGGUGUGCGUCGCGCGCCCUAGCGGGCCGCGCCGCUCCCGUCCCCGCCGGCAGCGCCAAACUCUAAAUGCACAGCGGACUGUACGUUCUGAUUUACAAAAAAAACAAGUUAAAACUUUCAACAACGGAUCUCUUGGUUCUG